UGCACAACCAUAAACUUUAAUAAAAUAAUACAUUUUAUUCGCCAGGGUACUACGAGCAUAAGCUUAAAACCUAAAGGACUUGGCGGUGCUUUAGACCCACCUAGAGGAGCCUGUUCUAUAACCGAUAACCCCCGUUAAACCUCACCUUUUCUUGUUUCUUCCGCCUAUAUACCGCCGUCGUCAGCUUACCCUGUGAAGGUUGUUUAGUAAGCAAAAUUGAUAUAAUCCAAAACGUCAGGUCGAGGUGUAGCAUAUGAAAAGGAAAGAAAUGGGCUACAUUUCCUAUUUUAGGAUAUUACGGAGAUUAAAAUGAAACAUGCACAUUGAAGGAGGAUUUAGCAGUAAUAAGGAAUUAGAGAGUCCUGAUGAAACCGGCCCUGAAGC
rnacentral:rRNA from 1 species